rnacentral:rRNA from 1 species
CCUACGGGCCGCAGCAGUGGGGAAUAUUGCACAAUGGGCGCAAGCCUGAUGCAGCCAUGCCGCGUGCGUGAAGAAGGCCUUCGGGUUGUAAAGCACUUUCAGCGGGGAGGAAGGCGUUAAGGUUAAUAACCUUGGCGAUUGACGUUUCCCGCAGAAGAAGCACCGGCUAACUCCGUGCCAGCAGCCGCGGUAAUACGGAGGGUGCAAGCGUUAAUCGGAAUUACUGGGCGUAAAGCGCACGCAGGCGGUCUGUCAAGUCGGAUGUGAAAUCCCCGGGCUCAACCUGGGAACUGCAUUCGAAACUGGCAGGCUAGAGUCUUGUAGAGGGGGGUAGAAUUCCAGGUGUAGCGGUGAAAUGUGUAGAGAUCUGGAGGAAUACCGGUGGCGAAGGCGGCCCCCUGGACAAAGACUGACGCUCAGGUGCGAAAGCGUGGGGAGCAAACAGGAUUAGAUACCCGUGUAGUC